UCAAGUAAGUAAGGGCGUACGGCGGAUGCCUUGGCCAUAUCAGCCGAAGAAGGACGCGAUAAGCUGCGAUAAGCUGCGGUGAGGUGCAAGUAACCUUUGACCCGCAGAUCUCCGAAUGGGGAAACCCGGCAGCAGUAGUGCUGUCAUCCUCUAUGAGGAAGGGCACCCGGUGAACUGAAACAUCUAAGUAGCCGGAGGAAAAGGAAUCAACAGAGAUACCCCUAGUAGCGGCGAGCGAACGGGGCAGAGCCCAAACCGGGAUGGGAAACCAAUCCGGGGUUGUGGACUGCUAUCAAAUGCAUGAGUGAAGCAGAAUGAGCUGGGAAGCUCAGCCAGAGAGAGUGAGAGCCUCGUAGGCGUAAGCGAAUGCAUGGAGCAGGAUCCGGAGUACCACGGGACACGGGAAACCCUGUGGGAAGCAGGGGGGACCACCCUCCAAGGCGAAACACUGAUAUGGACCGAUAGCGCAUAGUACCGUGAGGGAAAGGUGAAAAGAACCCCGGGAGGGGAAUGAAAGAGAACCUGAAACCGUAUGUCUACAAGCAGUCGAAGACCUUUAUAUGGUCGACGGCGUGCCUAUUGAAGAAUGAACCGGCGAGUUACUUCAGCUAGCGAGGUUAAGCAGGAAAUGCGGAGCCGCAGCGAAAGCGAGUCUGAACAGGGCGUAUAGUUAGUUGGAGUAGACCCGAAACCACAGUGAUCUACCCAUGUCCAGGUUGAAGCACAGGUAAAAAUGUGUGGAGGACCGAACCAGUGAGCGUUGAAAAGCUUUUGGAUGAGAUGUGGGUAGGGGUGAAAUGCCAAUCGAACGUGGAGAUAGCUGGUUCUCCCCGAAAUAGCUUUAGGGCUAGCCUCAUGGCGAGAGUACAGGCGGUAGAGCACUGAACGGGGUAGGGGCCUAUCCGGCUACUGAACCUAAUCAAACUGCGAAUGGCUGUACUUAUCCAUGGGAGUCAGACUGUGAGUAAUAAGGCCCAUAGUCAAGAGGGAAACAGCCCAGACCAACAGCUAAGGUCCCCAAUGCCGUACUAAGUGGCGAAGGAUGUGGAAUUUCGAAAACAACCAGGAUGUUGGCUCAGAAGCAGCCACCAUUAAAAGAGUGCGUAAUAGCUCACUGGUCGAGAGACUCUGCGCCGAAGAUGUCCGGGGCUAAAGUACGGAACCGAAGCUUUGGCAAUUAACAUAAGUUAAUUGGGUAGGGGAGCGUUCCUGCAUGGGAGAAGCCUGACCGGAAGGACAGGUGGACAGGCAGGAAGAGAGAAUGCCGGUAUGAGUAGCGAAAAGAAGGGUGAGAAUCCCUUCCACCGAAAGCCUAAGGGUUCCUGGGCAACGAUCGUCGUCCCAGGGUAAGUCGGGACCUAAUCCGAGGCGGAGACGCGUAGGAGAUGGACAACAGGUUGAAAUUCCUGUACUGGCUGAGGCCGUUUGAGCGAAGGAGUGACACAGGAAGGAAGGCGCGCGUGCGAAUGGAAGAGCACGUCCAAGCAGGUAGGUCGGGAGACAGGCAAAUCCGUUUCCCAUAAGGCCGAGAUGCGAUGGGGAGCUUCUGGAGACAGAAGCGAAGGGGCUGGCACUAAACUGUCGAGAAAAGCUUCUAGUGAGGACUCAGGCACCCGUACCGAAACCGACACAGGUAGGCAGGAUGAGAAUUCUAAGGUGCGCGGGAAAACCCUCGUUAAGGAACUCGGCAAAAUAUAUCCGUAACUUCGGGAAAAGGAUAACCCAGCGUACGUGAAGUGCAGAAACGCAUGGAGCGGAGAUGGGUGGCAGAAGAGAGGCCCAAGCGACUGUUUACCACAAACACAGGCGUCUGCUAAAGCGAAAGCUGAUGUAUAGAUGCUGACACCUGCCCGGUGCUGGAAGGUUAAGAGGAAGUGUUAGCGCAAGCGAAGCAGUGAAUUGAAGCCCCAGUAAACGGCGGCCGUAACUAUAACGGUCCUAAGGUAGCGAAAUUCCUUGUCGGGUAAGUUCC
rnacentral:rRNA from 1 species